CCCACGCUUACAUCUACCUCCACGCCCACACUUACACCCACGCUUACAUCUACCUCCACACCCACACUUACACUCACGCUUACAUCUACCUCCACGCCCGCACUUACACCCACCCACACUUACACCCACCCACACUUACAUCUACCUCCACGCCCACACUUACACCCACCCACACUUACAUCUACCUCCACGCCCACACUUACACCCACCCACACUUACACCCACGCUUACAUCUACCUCCACGCCCGCACUUACACCCACCCACACUUACACCCACACUUACAUCCAC
rnacentral:lncRNA from 1 species